rnacentral:misc_RNA from 1 species
GAUGAAGAACGCAGCGAAAUGCGAUACGUAAUGUGAAUUGCAGAAUUCAGUGAAUCAUCGAGUCUUUGAACGCACAUUGCGCCCUCUGGUAUUCCGGAGGGCAUGCCUGUCCGAGCGUCAUUGCUGCCCUCAAGCACGGCUUGUGUGUUGGGCCUCCGUCCUCCUCCCGGGGGACGGGCCCGAAAGGCAGCGGCGGCACCGCGUCCGGUCCUCGAGCGUAUGGGGCUUCGUCACCCGCUCUUGUAGGCCCGGCCGGCGCUUGCCGACACAUCAAUCUUUUUUCCAGGUUGACCUCGGAUCAGGUAGGGAUACCCGCUGAACUUAAGCAUAUCAAUAAGCGGAGGA